CCAGCCUCGCUACAUUGAUCCUCCAUCCCUGUUUUGUUGUGUACACCUCAUUUGCUACUCGUUCUAGCAGCCUUGCUCCCAGCUCCAGCACUUUUCUUGACGGCUCCUUUAUCUGCAAUAUUGACCAAUCAAUCAACCAACGGCUCAUUAGUUUGAUUGUGCAGAAAGGAUCAUUUAUCCUUUUAUUUUCAAAAAUAAUCCCAUUCCUACUUUUCCAAAUCGCCCAAAAUAAAGCAGAUACCCCCACCAUCACCAUUUUCUUAUCAUCCCUGUUGAAUUUGCCUAUCCAUGUCCCAAAACAAUCACUAACAGUCAGUGGAGUGGUUUUGAGCCCACCCACACAUUUAACCAGAGCCCAAAGCAGUGAGGCUACUGAGCAAGUAAAAAACAAAUGGUCAAUUGAUUCCUCCUUUCCACAGAAAACACAGUCUUUCCCCCCUCUCCAUCCUUUUUUUAGCAAAACAUCCCUAGUUAAAAUGCUCUUAUUAUUAACCAACCACAUAAAAACCUUGAUUUUCACAGGCACUUUGGUCUUCCACAAGUAUUUUUGUGGAAAUUUUAGACCUAGUGUAAUUAUUUUUCUGUAUAGAGAUCCCACAGAGAAUUUAUGAUCUGCAAUCAAGGUCCAGAUCACUUUAUCUCUCCCUCCUUGCAUAGUUAUUUCUUCACAUCUACUUUUUAAGCUAUUCCACAAAUCCAGAGUUUCGCCAUGCAAAGUUCUUCUAAAUGUGAAACCAUGCCAUCCUUUUUGUAUGGCUUCAUUUACUGUUAUAUUAUGGUCAAAACAUAUAUCAUAUAAUCUAGGAUAAGCUUCUCUCAGAGGUUUAUCAUCUACCCAUACAUCUUCCCAGAACCUGGUAUUUUUUCCAUCACCUAAUUCUUUCCUAACAAAUUUAUAAAAAAAUCUCUUUGAUAGUCAUAAGACUAGACCAGAAUUGUGAAUCUCCAGGUAUUUUAACCAUUAGAGCUAGGCAUUGUCCCUUUAUAUAUUUUUCUCCAAGGAUAUCUUGCCACAACCCCUCUUCUGUUUCCAUUUUCCAAAACCAUUUAGCAAGAAGUGCAAUAUUCAUCACCUCCAGAUUAAGGAUCCCCAAACCUCCUACAUCUUUUGGCAAACAACAUGUUUCCCAUUUCACUAAAUGAUAUUUUUUAAUAUUCUCAUCCUCUUGCCACACCAGUCUGGCCCUGAAAAAAUCUGCUUUCUUGAUGAUCCCUUUAGGUAUAGAAAAAAAGGACAUCAUAAACAGUGGGAUGUUAGUUAGACAGGCUUGCACCAAGGUAAUUCUACCAGCAAUGGACCCCAGUAAUUUCCCUUGCCAGCAGCCACAUCUUUUUUCAAUCUUGUUAGUCACACAAUUCCAGUGAAUGUUUCUAAUUAUGUUUUCAUCCACCGGCAUCCCCAAGUAUUUGAUGGGUAAUUCACCCAUUUUACAUGUCAAAAUUUCCUGAUAUAUUGACUGUUUCUCUUUGGCUUUUCCAAAGAGCAUCAAUUCACACUUAUGGAAGUUUAUUUUGAGACCUGACAUUUGUUCAAAGGCUCCUAAUAUGAAUUUAAGAUUUCUAACACUUUCUAUCCCAUCUCUAAUAUCCCUUUGUUCUCCCCAUUUCUCAAAACCCCUUUCACUACAUCAUGUUUUAAUGCAUUACUCAUUAAGAUGGCCAAGGCAUCAGCAGCCAGGUCAAAAAGCAGUGGUGACAUAGCAUCACCCUGUCUCAGCCCUUUGAAAGUUUUAAAAUAUGGCCCAAUAUCAUCAUUCACCCUAACCCCUACAUGUCCUCCUCUCAUAGUCUCCAUCACCCAGUCAUACCAUUUAUCUGGAAAACCUUUCAGGUUAAGCAUUUGUAUUACAAAAGGCCAUUUGAUUUUAUCAUAUGCUUUCUCAAAGUCCACUUUGAAAAUCAAAGCAUCUUCCUUUUCUCUGUGGAAAGUAUUCAGAGCCUCAUGGAGGAUAACCACCCCCUCCAUAAUGUAUCUCCCCUUGAUAAAAGCAGUUUGGUUUCUGGAUAUCACAGGGGACACACAUCUAGCUAAUCUAUUCAUUAGUACUUUAGUAAUGAUCUUAAAGCUCACAUUCAACAGGCAAAUGGGCCUGAAUUUAUGUAUUUGUUUGGCAUCAUUUGUCUUUGGGACAAGAGUUAUGAUGCCAUAAUUAAGUCUGGCAAUAUUAAUUUUUCCUUUAGCAAAACUUUCAACCAAAGCUUUUAUCUCCCAUUUGACCAGAUCCCAAAAAUCUUGAUAGAAAUCCACAGGAAAUCCAUCAGGUCCAGGACUUUUAUUUCUUUUCAUCCCAAACACUACUUUAUGAAUUUCAUCCAGGGAGAAAGGGGCAAAAAGCUCCUCCCUAUCCUGGGAGCUGAUCUAUUCCAUUUCCACCCCUUUCAAAGAGAUUUGUGUCUCUUCAGGGUGACCAAACAAGGUUUUGUAGAAAUUGGUUAUGUAUUCCAUCAAUCUACCUUCCCCCUCUAUAGUCCCUUCAUCUUGUUCCAAAGAGAUGAUUCUGUUUUUUCUUCUUCUCCCAUUUACUUUUGCAUGUUAGUAUCUAGUGUUUCCAUCCCCAUCUGUGAUCUCUCUAUCUUUAUACCUUUGCAACCACUUCAUCUCCUCUUUUAGCAUCACUCUUUUGAGUUGUGCUCUAAGCUCUUUCUGCUCAGCUCUGUCAGCAGCAGUUAGCCCUAUUCUCUCAGCUUUCUUGUCUAUCUCAUCCAAUACCCUAAUAAUAUUCAUUUUAAUUUUUUUAUACCAUGCAUCCAUAUUCUUAUUCCAUCCCUUAGUUUUUCUUCUCAGGUUUCUCAUUUUAAGUUGCCAUCUUUCCAGGAUAUCUCCUUUAUAUUUCUCAUUCCAUGUUUUGUAGAUCAGUUCUCUAAAUCCCUCUCUCAAUGUCCAAGCAUUCUUAUAGCUAAAGAUAUAUUUAUGUGUUUGUGUUUCCCCUGUAUCUAGGUACAGGGGAGUGUGAUCAGAUACUUCUCUAGCAAAAGCUUGCAAUAUAGUUAGGAUAUUUUUCCUCCCAAGCAGGGCACGUCAACACCCUAUCCAACUUUUCAUAGGUGGGACUUUCCUGGUUAUUAGCCCAGGUGUAUAGUCUCCCAUUUAAUGGCAAUUCCCUAAGCCCUGCUUGCUCAAUUAUAGCAUUAAACAUAAAGGACCACUGAUCACUCUGCAUGGGUUUAUUCUUUUCUUUUUCAUUUCUAAUAAUAUUGAAAUCCCCCCAACCAAGCAUGGCAGAGGAUUGUCAUGGUAUAAUCGAGCUAACUCAGCUAAGAAGCUGGCUUUUCCUUCCUUUUGAGCAUCCCCAUAUACAAUAAUCAGAUUCCAGUGUAAUUUGGCAUUUUUAUCAUAAACUAGAACCCUCAGAAAAUAAUGUCCCUUCUCAAUACAUUCCACAUCAAAUAAAUCUUUGUUAAUCCCCACUAAAAUCCCAGAUAUUCCCCUAGGGGGGUUCCAACACCAUUGGUACUUUUUCCCUCCACACAUAUUAUGUAGCUCAUUCUUAGUAAAUUCUUUUUUGAUUGUUUCAGAAAUCCCUAUGAAAUCCAGUCUCUGAUCUAUGAUCAUUUCCCUGAUGUAUCUUUUCUUGUGAUCUUGUCCUAUACCUCUAACAUUCCAAAAAAAACCUCUCAUUUCUCCACCUUAUUGAUUUUUUCUAUCCUUUUAUGUAUUAAAAACCUGGGCCUAACUAAAAAAACACACCAAUCCCCCUCAAACUAUCUCUAUUUUUGUCUAUAUUUGAAUCAGAUAAGAGACUAAUUAGUCUUCUUUCCUUUUCUUCUUCUUCUCAACACCCCGAUCCCAAUUGUCUGCUUCACACAGUCCAAAGCUGGUGAGCUUGGUUUCCCUUUUUUUCUGAGAACAUUCCUCUUAGUUUUUUGAAUUCCUUUUCUUCAAUAUCAGCAUCUGAAUGUUCCAAGUCAGAGCAUAUCUCAUCAACAUCCACAUCUCCAGUAUUAAUGUACUGGGAUGUCAACUAUUUCCUCCUCUCUCUUAUCUAUUCUUUUUUUCUCCCCAUCAUUUUUUGUUUUGAUAUUUUGAAAAUACAUGUCCCUUCUAGCCUCCUCCAAUUUUUUAAUAAUGUCUAGGUUUUUAUCAAUCAUAUAAAUAGAGCAUCCUAAAUCAAUCCCAACCAUAGAACUAAUCUGCAACAAAGAAGCAUCAGCAAAUUCUGUAUCCAGAUUCUUACCAUAAUUGUCUCUUUCUGCUGCUCUGAUUUUGGCCAUUUCUUCCACCCUCUGAUCUUCUUUUCCUCUGUUCCUGAGACUUCUUUUUAAUUCCACUUCUUUUUCUUCUCCAUCCUUCUCUAGAACCCCUGCCCCAUGUAUGUCAGCCAUUUUCUCACCCAGUGUACCAACAGAUUCCUGGCUAGCAUUAU
rnacentral:lncRNA from 1 species